CAAAUCUAUUUCCAUGAUUUUACGACGUCGCCUCGGCCCUCCAGGCAGAAACGAAGCUAAAUCGCUUGUUUCUUCAAUAUCUUUAUAACGGCUCGACAGAUCGCCGAACCGACUUAGUCAACGCGUUCGUUUACCUAGCAAUUAGGUUUACAGAGGUCUAAAUGAGAUCAAACCCAUCUAUUUAUAAAAACCCUAUUUCGGAGCCCUAGAUUCCAACUAGGCAAAAACCUAUCUUUAAAUAUCUAGAUUCUAGCAUUUAUCACCUAUUUAGC
rnacentral:lncRNA from 1 species